rnacentral:rRNA from 1 species
AGUGCCAGCAGCCGCGGUAAUACCGGCGCCUCAAGUGGUAGUCGAUUUUAUUGGGCCUAAAACGUCCGUAGCCUGUUUGGUACAUUCGUGGGUAAAUCAACCAGCUCAACUGACUGAAUUCUGCGAGCACGGCCAGACUUGGGACCGGGAGAGGUGUGGGGUACGCUCAGGGUAGGGGUAAAAUCCUGUCAUCCUGAGCGGACCACCUGUUGCGAAGGCGCCACACUAGAACGGAUCCGACGGUCAGGGACGAAGCCUAGGGGCACGAACCGGAUUAGAUACCCGGGUAGUCCUAGGUGUAAACGCUGUGGACUUGGUGUUGGGGACUCUCCGAGAUUCCUCAGUGCCGAAGCGAAGGUGAUAAGUCCACUGCCUGGGGAGUACGGUCGCAAGGCUGAAACUUAAAGGAAUUGGCGGGGGAGCACCGCAACCUGAGGAUUGUGCGGUUUAAUUGGAUUCAACGCCGGAAAACUCACCAGUGCCGACGGACAAAUGAAAGCCAGUGUGAUGAGCUUGCUGGAUUGUUCGAGAGGUAGUGCAUGGCCGCCGUCAGUUCGUACCGUAAGGCGUUCUGUUAAGUCAGAUAACGAACGAGACCCUCAUCCCUAUUUGCUAAGGUCAGUCCGCUGAUCACAGGACUAUAGGGAGACCGCUGGCGCGAAGUCAGAGGAAGGCGAGGGCAACGGUAGGUCAGUAUGCUCCGAAUGCACUGGCUACACGCGCAUACAAAGGACGGGACAUGGCCGCUGCGCGAGAGCAUGUGCUAUCCCGAAGCCCGUUCGUAGUUCGGAUGAGGCUGUACUCGCCCUCAUGAGCUGAUAGUAGUAUCGCGUCUCAAAAGGCGCGUGAUAUGCCCUGCUCUGCCCACCGCCCGUUCAACCAUCUUAAUGGGGUGGUGAGCUACUCUAUGGGUUUCGAACCUGCCUCGAAAGGAGUAGUCUACAGUACUGGCGGCGCUCGACAGGGGAUUGGAUACCUCCUGGGGGCGCUGACUGUCUAAGGCCAUCGCUUAAGGGCAACAUUCUGGCCGGUUAAGCGUGAUGAAACGGUUCCAAUAACCUGAAACCCUCACAGGGA